CUCGACUACUCUCUGAGGUUUUGUUUGAGUUUUUACAUUUUUAAGUUUUGAACUUUUUGAGUUCAGAGUUCAGACGCAUAAAUUUUUUAAUUUCUGAUUUUCUGCAUCAAACUAAUUUAGGGUUAUAGGAGACGAUUUCCAGCUUGAUUCGAUUCCUCACUCCUCAAUUUCAGAGGCCAUUGAAUGAUGAUGAGCAAAGGAUUAAUGUUCCAAAGGCCAUGACAUGUAAUGAAAGUAAAAGAGAAGUUUCUGUUUUACAAAAUGUAGCUAACAAGCAAGUAGACAAAAUAUUCACUUUUGACAAGGUUUUUGGCCCAAAAGCACAACAUAGAUUAACCCUGGAAUGGUUUAUAUGCGUCUUCUGGAAUGGUGGUAACAAGUCUUGUAUGGAUUAACCCUGAUAAAGCGAAUCCAACUUACAACAACUAUAUCUGUUUGAAUUCAGGCUCGUGCAAGAGAAGC